AGACGCUCUAGGCGGGGAGGGGGACACCUGCGGCGGACCUUCUCCGACGGGACACUGGAUUCAAUUCACUUUGGGGGCUUUGACUCUUUUCUGGACCGCAUUGGAUGAGUCAAACAGGUUCACCGAGUCCCUCCCCGCCCGCCACCGACGCCGUAAACAAAGCAUCCAAAACGUCUUGUUAAAAGUUGCGUAAACCACCACCUGAUCGCCCACCGGCAGUGGACAUCAAUUCUUUUCAACAUGACGUCAUUCGUGGCUUAUGAUGCCCUAAUCACGACUUUAUGGUUUAGGUUUGGUUUGGUUUUCUCUCAAUUGACUUAUUUUACCCGUUAACCGUAAGGGCACUUGUUAGAGCUACGCCCCCAAAAAAAAGAAGGACGUUCAUUGAACAAAACGAAAGGGGAUUUGGACAAGGGUCAUUGGACAUUGGUGUUAGGUUAGGACAUUGGGUUUACGAGAUAGGCUCACAAGGCUUUGGGGUUUAGGAUUCCGGUUUUGGUCUUUGGUAUUUUUUGUAUAACCUCUGCAGCUAACAAACAGUGUGGGCGACAAAUAGACCCUCGUCUUGUACCCACACAAAAUAAGAAAUUCAACUAAAAGUCCCCAAACUGGUGCUUACAGUCAAAUUAAGCCCAUUUAAAGAAAAGAAUGUUCCUAUUGUGUAUUUGUGAACACCCCCUAAUCACUAACAUCUACUUAGCUAGUACGGUAGCAAUUAGGCCACGUCGCCACUCUGACCAGCUGAUGUGGGACCUCUGCCCCCCCCCCCCCCCACCCCGCCCAUCCCAUCCCACCCAGCGCCGCCUGACCCGUGACAACUACUUGAAUCACCGGCCGGCGUGUGCGAGGAGGCAGCGGGGACUCGUGACUGCCGCUCAUUUCAAAAGUGGAAAGAGAAAAAGCGUGUCAACAAUACUGAUGGUAAUGGUUUGUUUGUGUGUCUCGUCCUUGUGCACUGUUUUCACUGUGGUUAUUGACAUUAUAAAAAAAACACUGUAACGGAUAUUGGAACAGUCCUACGUCUUUUGUGUAAGCUUGCUAAUCUCCCGAAAGAGGUUUCUUUUCUUUUUUCUUUGCACCAUGUUUUUGCGUGCUUCACUGUUUGUGGCGCUAAAAAAAGCAGGCAGGUUGGAUUAUUAGAAUAAAAACUCUUGAUGAUG